GUCCGGUCCCAGGGACUGCCUCGCUCCUUCCCGCUUGUCUCCGUGACAUAGCCCGGGGCUGUCGCUCUUCCUCAAUCCCCUGCUCGGCUGCUCCCCGCUGCUCAAGACUGUGGAUUGCCUGUCUGGCACUGUUGCUCUAGCCAGGCGACGCCGCCGCUCUAGUCCGGCCAUUGCCUGAAUCCGGAUUCCCCGUCUCCGCGCCGCCACUCUACUCCGGCCACUCCCCGACUCCGGACUACAAUUUAAUUGAUAAAAUAGAAGAUAAGAUAUUUCUCAAGCCUAUAGGGAUCUCAGAGGGCUUCUACCUCCUCAUAGAGGUGUUGCUUCUUCUUCUGCCGCAGAUCAUGUUAUGGGAGGCAGGAAUGAAAUAAACAACUGAUUUGGUACUCUUAUAUCCCUGUAUUAUUUCUGGUUUUAUCAUGUUUUAUCUCUUCUAUUGGAUUGUUAAGCACCAAGAUUAAAUUUUAGAAUUAUUGAACAACUGAAUUUAUUUUGUUUGGUAUUGCAUAUUAUCUUUUUUUAAAUGUCAUGAUGUGUUCUUGGGUAGUUAUAAGUGCCAAAGUUUUCCUUUGUUGCCGAAAAAAU